GCGAGUCAAAAUGAUCACAUUAAAGUACAUUUGUUUAAUUUUAAUUUUAUUAUUUAAUGGAAUUGUUGCCGAAAACUCAUGUAAAGUCAUCAGUUGCGUGAAUGAAGAUGAUGGAACGCAAAAUUGUUCUACUUUGGGUUGUGUAAAGUUCACUUUGCGAGCUGAAUCAAAAUGUUACACAAAAGAGGGAGAUCCGACUAUGCAAUAUCCUGAUUGCUGUCCUCAAGCUGUGUGUCCUGGAGAUGCAGAUUAUGUCGAACCCAAACAUCGAAAAAAAGCUUAAUAAAACUUUUAUUUUGAUUUUAAUUCUAAAAAUGAACUAAAUUUUGCUCCAUAUUUUAAUCUCAUUUUCAAAAAGGUCAUGUUUUACAUUUUAAAAAAUUAUUUGAUAAGAAACUUCUCUUCAAAUUUCAAAGAAGAGAAAUUAAUUUCUAUGUAUUUGCUAUAAAUUGAGAGAGCCGUCAAAACAAAUCAUUAGUUUAUUUUGAAAAAUCAAGAUGAUCGCAUUGAAAUACAUUUGUUUGUUAGUUAUUUUGUUCCUCAGUGGAAUAAUUUGUCCUGAUCCCUGUGUGCAACAUAUUUGCGAAACACAUGAAGAUGGAACUAAAACUUGUCAUGGAAAGGCUUGUGGUCAAAUGGCAGUUCUACCGCCUUGUUACUUGAAAGAAGAUUUGACAAAAGAAUAUCCUGAAUGUUGUCCCAAAGCAUUCUGUCCCGGAGAUGACGGCUAUGAAGGAGGAAAUAAACAUUAAUUAAAACUAAUUUUGUCUAAAUGCCUGAAAAUAAAUUAAUAUUUUGAAUUAAAAUUUAAAUUUUAUAGUCAUCGUAAGAUUCCUAAAAAAAACCUGAAAUGUUGAUUAUUUUUUUUUUAUUGAAAUUCACUGGAAAUGCGUUUUGAUAAGCAAAUUAUAAAAGCAAAACAGAAUUAAAAACUAAGUCAGUUCAAUUUUGAAAGUCAAGAUGAUCGCAUUGAAAUACAUUUGCUUGUUUUUGAUUUUAUUCCUCAGUGGGGUUUUUGGUUGUGGAACAUAUACUUGCGUUAAAAAUGAGGAUGGCUCGGAGUCUUGUUCUGGUUCGGGAUGUGGUGAAUUCCAAUUACCUCCUGGAUCAAAAUGUUACAAAAAAGAUGGAGAUCCAAAUUUGGAGUAUCCUAAGUGCUGUAGUUAUUCUGUAUGUCCUGGAGAUAAAGAAUACGUUGAGCCAAAACAUUGAUUAGUUUUAAUAAUUGCUUAACGAAUUGAUUAAAAUGAAAUAAAAUAUUUUACUUUGUCAAUUUGAUGUUUGUUUGUCAGUCCAAAAA